ACCUAACAAUGAUUGUUACAAUCUGUAUUCCGUUAACAAGUUUUAACAAUCUUCUUAAAGAUAUGUUGUUAAAGAUUAUUGUUAUGAUAGCAACAAGAUUUGAGUAGUUGUUAAAAUGUUGCUAAGAAGUUGAAUUUGCCAAAUGAAGAAGAUGGAUCCUGUGGCAUUUAAUUUUAUUGUAAAUUUUAUUGGUAAUUUUGAAAAUAUGAAUAAACAACAAAAACUGAAAUUAUAUCGGAGAAAUUUGAGAGAUGCCUCUAAUCCAUUUGAACUCCCAGAUUUUAAUUUUGUUAAGUUAUUUAGAUUAAAUAAACAUCUUACGAGAAGACUAAUUAUGGAGUUACAACAGUUUGAGGAUCAGAGACCGAAACGAAUCGACUGUUCCUUUUUUUUUACAGGUACUAAUCCGUUUAAAUUUCUACGGACAUGGAAGUUACCAAUUAUGUAUUGGAGAGGAUUUAAAUUUAGGUGUAAGUCAACCAAUGGUGAGCAGGAUUUUAGCAAAAAUAAGUAACAUUUUUGCAUUUCAUUUGCUCCCUAGAUAUGUAAAAUUCCCUGUAACAGUACAACAUAUUUUAGAAGUAAAGCAAGGAUUUAUGGAUAAAUUUGGUUUUCCCAAUACAAUUGGAGCCAUAGACUGUACGCAUAUCUCAAUUAUUUCACCCGUAGAUGAGAACCAUGCUCCAUCAAUUACAUAAUUAAAUCGUAAAGGUUUUCAUAGUAUUAAUCUACAAGCGAUAUGUGAUUCAAAUAUGAUUUUUUUAAAUGUCAAUGCUCGAUAUCCGGGAGCAACACAUGAUGCAGCUAUAUGGGAAGUGUCAAAUAUAAAUUUAAAUUUAUCAAGACGUUACCAAAAUGGAGAUAGAAAAACUUGGUUAAUAGGCGAUUCGGGCUACCCCAUACAGCCAUGGAUGAUGACGCCUAUCAAUGAUGCUUUGCCAAAUAGUCCAGAAGCUUUAUAUACCCAGCUACAUUGUAGAGCUAGAAAUGUAGUAGAAAGAGCCUUUGGAUCACUAAAAAGUCGUUUCAGGUGUUUGUUGAAACAUAGGACAUUACACUAUAGUCAUGCUGCGGCUGGUAAAAUUAUAUAUGCAUGCAUAGUUUUACAUAAUUUAUGUAAACAAUAUGACUUACCAGAAGUAGAAUAUGAAGAUAACGAAGAUGAUGAGGAAGGCGAUGAAGAAAUAAACCCAGUAGUGGGUGGUAAGUUUUUAUUCUGCAUUAUAUCUUAGUAUGUAAAAAAAAAUAAAUUUAGGGAUCAAUACUUUAACAGAAGGCCGU